rnacentral:lncRNA from 1 species
AAGGACAGUUUUGGAGGGAUCAAGAGCACAUUGUCUUCUUAACCUUCUGGCUAUCUUGUUAUGUCUUUGGUUCUAGCUAGCUCUUUACAGGUAGCCAAGAAAUUGAUAACUUUGGCCAUCCAAAUUCAUGAAAGGCGAAAAAUUAAUCUCAGCAAGCUAAUCUCAGGCUCUCUCUACGAUGCUCUUAGGCUUGCUGCUUCUAAUUUUAAGCCCAUCUAAAACCAAUAAU